rnacentral:rRNA from 1 species
GACGAACGCUGGCGGCGUGCUUAACACAUGCAAGUCGAACGAAGAGCGAUGGAAGCUUGCUUCUAUCAAUCUUAGUGGCGAACGGGUGAGUAACGCGUAAUCAACCUGCCCAUCAGAGGGGGACAACAGUUGGAAACGACUGCUAAUACCGCAUACGAUCUAAUCUCGGCAUCGAGGAUAGAUGAAAGGUGGCCUCUACAUGUAAGCUAUCACUGAAGGAGGGGAUUGCGUCUGAUUAGCUAGUUGGAGGGGUAACGGCCCACCAAGGCGAUGAUCAGUAGCCGGUCUGAGAGGAUGAACGGCCACAUUGGGACUGAGACACGGCCCAGACUCCUACGGGAGGCAGCAGUGGGGAAUCUUCCGCAAUGGACGAAAGUCUGACGGAGCAACGCCGCGUGAGCGAUGACGGCCUUCGGGUUGUAAAGCUCUGUUAAUCGGGACGAAAGGCCUUCUUGCGAAUAGUGAGAAGGAUUGACGGUACCGGAAUAGAAAGCCACGGCUAACUACGUG